rnacentral:rRNA from 1 species
GUGCCAGCAGCCGCGGUAAUACGGAGGGCGCAAGCGUUAAUCGGAAUUACUGGGCGUAAAGCGCACGCMGGCGGUCUGUCAAGUCGGAUGUGAAAUCCCCGGGCUCAACCUGGGAACUGCAUUCGAAACUGGCAGGCUAGAGUCUUGUAGAGGGGGGUAGAAUUCCAGGUGUAGCGGUGAAAUGCGUAGAGAUCUGGAGGAAUACCGGUGGCGAAGGCGGCCCCCUGGACAAAGACUGACGCACAGGUGCGAAAGCGUGGGGAGCAAACAGGAUUAGAUACCCUGGUAGUCCACGCCGUAAACGAUGUCGACUUGGAGGUUGUGCCCUUGAGGCGUGGCUUCCGGAGCUAACGCGUUAAGUCGACCGCCUGGGGAGUACGGCCGCAAGGUUAAAACUCAAAUGAAUUGACGGGGGCCCGCACAAGCGGUGGAGCAUGUGGUUUAAUUCGAUGCAACGCGAAGAACCUUACCUACUCUUGACAUCCAGAGAACUUAGCAGAGAUGCUUUGGUGCCUUCGGGAACUCUGAGACAGGUGCUGCAUGGCUGUCGUCAGCUCGUGUUGUGAAAUGUUGGGUUAAGUCCCGCAACGAGCGCAACCCUUAUCCUUUUGU